rnacentral:lncRNA from 1 species
AGGUAAAAGAUAAAAAAGUUUGAGUUGUUGGAAGCCAACAAUCAGAAUGCUGGAAAAGUUAUAUAUUGGAAAUCACCUAAUUUCAUUGAAAUAGAAUAUAGUAAUAUUUAGGGAAUCUUUCUGUGUGAAAAUAAAAUCAAUAAGCCCCUCUACAUUCUAUGAAGUCUGCUGGCAAUUAGACAAGGAUAAAUUAGCCUCUGCCUGGACUACCAUGGUUAGAUUUCCAUAUCACUGUCAGAGAAGUCUGGAAAUGAGAGGAAAUGCCUUUCAAGCAGGAAGUCUCAAAACCAGUUUAUUGCAGCAGAUGGUUCAAACAGUGAAGCUGAAGAGUAAUUGGAUGAGCUAUAGGAGUUAUUUCACAUGUGAUAGCACCAGCAAAUGGUGGUAGGUAACCUCAUUAGCAAAUAGACUUCAGCAGCUGUUAGAAUAGAUGUUAAAAAAGAAGACAUUUAGUAAAGAAACUAGAGACAAUUUAUAAGCUUUUUGGAUUAAUUAGAUAACUGUUCACAAGGAAUAUUGUAUUCCACUUAAAACUCCAGAUUUGUAUGUAUAAUUCACACAGCAGGUAUACAGCAGUCAGCCCUCACCUAAAGAGAUAGAACUCACUCUAGAAGUGCUUUAAACCAACUUUGGAACAUGACAAAAAUACUACCUAAAUGUGUCCUGUUUACAUGUAAGCAGAAGAUAAAAGUUCAUUCCUGAAGACCCAUAAUUAACUUACUUUCCUACUUGUGCUAAUUUUAUAUAUAUGUAUAUUUUCUUAUGAAGUUAUAUCCUUUUAAAACAUGUUUCAUCUGAAAAAAAGUGAUAAGGACUUUUGGAAGGUAACUAAUUUAUUCGUAACCCUGUGAGAGUUCCUUUAGGUUUGACAUUUU